rnacentral:lncRNA from 1 species
UUUUGUUUACUCCAGCUUCCUGUUUACUUCACACGAUACAGGACCCUUCUCAGAAGAGGCCUCUGGAUCUUGGUAAAGAGGAAUCUGGCCUAUACAAACUGUCUUGGGUGCCACCUACCCCUUCUUCCUCUCCUGGUUCUUCAUUUACCUCUGUAUGUGCUUUGUCUGAUUUUUGUAAUGAUGACAAUGUGUCUGACGGCAAAAUUGUUGCCUUGCCUCCAAUUGUAAAUAAUUCCAUUUGUAAUAAUGUUGUUACCACUAAUAUGAUUGACAGCAAAAUUGUUGCCUUGCCUCCAAUUGUAAAUAAUUUCAUUUGUAAUGCUGCUGUUACCACUAAUAUGAAUUACAUUUGGAAUUUAAGACUAGCACAUACUUCUUUUGCAAAUAUGAGACAUAUCUCUGGUUUGUCUUGUCCAUUUGCUUCUAAACAACCUUUUCCUUGUUCUGUCUGUCCUAUGCCCAAACAAACCAGACUCCCUUUUCCUGAUAGCAGUAUCAGUACUACUGGACCAUUUCAAUUAAUACAUGUGGAUACUUGGGGUCCUUACCACACUUCUAC